rnacentral:rRNA from 1 species
GACGAACGCUGGCGGCGUGCUUAACACAUGCAAGUCGAACGGAAAGGCCCUGCUUUUGUGGGGUGCUCGAGUGGCGAACGGGUGAGUAACACGUGAGUCACCUGCCCUUGGCUUUGGGAUAACUUCAGGCAACUGGGGCUAAUACCGGAUUGGAGCUCCUGCUGCAUGGUGGGGGUUGGAAAGUUUCGGCGGUUGGGGCUGGACUCGCGGGUUAUCAGCUUGUUGGUGGGGUAGUGGCUUACCAAGGCUUUGACGGGUAGCCGGCCUGAGAGGGUGACCGGCCACAUUGGGACUGAGAUACGGCCCAGACUCCUACGGGAGGCAGCAGUGGGGAAUAUUGCACAAUGGGCGGAAGCCUGAUGCAGCAACGCCGCGUGCGGGAUGACGGCCUUCGGGGUGUAAACCGCUUUCGCCUGUGACGAAGCGUGAGUGACGGUAAUGGGUAAAGAAGCACCGGCUAACUACGUG